rnacentral:rRNA from 1 species
GACGAAGGAUGCAAGCGUUAUCCGGAUUCAUUGGGUUUAAAGGGAGCGUAGGUGGUCUUAUAAGUCAGUGGUGAAAUCUCGCAGCUUAACUGCGAAACUGCCAUUGAUACUGUAGGACUUGAGUAUAGUUGCUGUGGGCGGAAUAUGACAUGUAGUGGUGAAAUACUUAGAGAUGUCAUAGAACACCGAUUGCGAAGGCAGCUCACAAAACUAUAACUGACACUGAGGCACGAAAGCGUGGGGAUCAAACAGG